AGAUUGAACGCUGGCGGCAUGCCUUACACAUGCAAGUCGAACGGCAGCACGGGAGCAAUCCUGGUGGCGAGUGGCGAACGGGUGAGUAAUACAUCGGAACGUGCCCAAUCGUGGGGGAUAACGCAGCGAAAGCUGUGCUAAUACCGCAUAAGAUCUACGGAUGAAAGCAGGGGAUCGCAAGACCUUGCGCGAAUGGAGCGGCCGAUGGCAGAUUAGGUAGUUGGUGAGGUAAAAGGCUCACCAAGCCUUCGAUCUGUAGCUGGUCUGAGAGGACGACCAGCCACACUGGGACUGAGACACGGCCCAGACUCCUACGGGAGGCAGCAGUGGGGAAUUUUGGACAAGUGGGCGAAAGCCUGAUCCAGCCAUGCCGCGUGCGAGGAUGAAGGCCUUCGGUUAGUAAACGUGCUUUUAGUACGGUAACGAAAAGU
rnacentral:rRNA from 1 species